GGACUACUGGGGUAUCUAAUCCUGUUUGCUCCCCACGCUUUCGCACCUCAGCGUCAAUACUUGUCCAGUCAGUCGCCUUCGCCACUGGUGUUCUUCCGAAUAUCUACGAAUUUCACCUCUACACUCGGAAUUCCACUGACCUCUCCAAGAUUCUAGUCACCUAGUUUCAAAGGCAGUUCCGGGGUUGAGCCCCGGGCUUUCACCUCUGACUUGAGUAACCGCCUACGCGCGCUUUACGCCCAGUAAUUCCGAACAACGCUAGCUCCCUCCGUAUUACCGCGGCGGCUGGCAC
rnacentral:rRNA from 1 species